rnacentral:rRNA from 1 species
AACGAACGUUGGCGGCGUGCCUAACACAUGCAAGUCGAGGGAGAAGCCACUCUUCGGAGAGGUGGAGACCGGCGCACGGGUGAGUAACACGUGGGUACGUGCCCAGGGGUCUGGAAUAACCCUCCGAAAGGAGGGCUAAUGCCGGAUAUUCUUCUUCGGGAGGAAAGCGUUAGCGCCCCUGGAUCGGCCCGCGGUCCAUUAGAUAGUUGGUGGGGUAAUGGCCUACCAAGUCGAAGAUGGAUAGCUGGUUUGAGAGAACGAUCAGCCACACUGGGACUGAGACACGGCCCAG